AGAGUUUGAUCCUGGCUCAGGAUGAACGCCGGCGGUAUGCUUUACACAUGCAAGUCGUACGAGAGUUUUUAACUCAAGUGGCGGACGGGUGAGUAACACGUAAGAAUUUACCUUUAGGAGGGGGACAACAACUGGAAACGGUUGCUAAUACCCCAUAUGCUUUCGAGUGAAAUGGAUUUUUCCGCCUAAAGAGAAGCUUGCGGCUGAUUAGCUUGUUGGUGAGGUAAUGGCUUACCAAGGCGACGAUCAGUAUCUGGUUUGAGAGGAUGAUCAGACACACUGGAACUGAGACACGGUCCAGACUCCUACGGGAGGCAGCAGUGGGGAAUUUUCCGCAAUGGGCGAAAGCCUGACGGAGCAAUACCGCGUGAGGGAUGACGGCCUAUGGGUUGUAAACCUCUUUUUUCAGGGAGGGAUCAAUGACGUGUACCUGAAGAAUAAGCAUCGGCUAACUCCGUGCCAGCAGCCGCGGUAAGACGGAGGAUGCAAGUGUUAUCCGGAAUCACUGGGCGUAAAGCGUCUGUAGGUGGUCAAAUAAGUCAACUGUUAAAUCUUGAGGCUCAACCUCAAAAUCGCAGUCGAAACUAUUAGACUAGAGUAUAGUAGGGGUAAAGGGAAUUUCCAGUGGAGCGGUGAAAUGCGUAGAGAUUGGAAAGAACACCGAUGGCGAAGGCACUUUACUGGGCUAUUACUAACACUCAG
rnacentral:rRNA from 1 species